CACGUAGGGUGCGAGCGUUGUCCGGAAUUAUUGGGCGUAAAGAGCUCGUAGGCGGUUUGUCGCGUCUGCUGUGAAAACUCGAGGCUCAACCUCGGGCUUGCAGUGGGUACGGGCAGACUAGAGUGCGGUAGGGGAGACUGGAAUUCCUGGUGUAGCGGUGGAAUGCGCAGAUAUCAGGAGGAACACCGAUGGCGAAGGCAGGUCUCUGGGCCGCAACUGACGCUGAGGAGCGAAAGCAUGGGGAGCGAACAGG
rnacentral:rRNA from 1 species